UAGGGAAUCUUCGGCAAUGGACGAAAGUCUGACCGAGCAACGCCGCGUGAGUGAAGAAGGUUUUCGGAUCGUAAAACUCUGUUGUUAGAGAAGAACAAGGACGUUAGUAACUGAACGUCCCCUGACGGUAUCUAACCAGAAAGCCACGGCUAACUACGUGCCAGCAGCCGCGGUAAUACGUAGGUGGCAAGCGUUGUCCGGAUUUAUUGGGCGUAAAGCGAGCGCAGGCGGUUUCUUAAGUCUGAUGUGAAAGCCCCCGGCUCAACCGGGGAGGGUCAUUGGAAACUGGGAGACUUGAGUGCAGAAGAGGUGAGUGGAAUUCCAUGUGUAGCGGUGAAAUGCGUAGAUAUAUGGAGGAACACCAGUGGCGAAGGCGGCUCUCUGGUCUGUAACUGACGCUGAGGCUCGAAAGCGUGGGGAGCAAACAGG
rnacentral:rRNA from 2 species